CACGUAGGGCGCAAGCGUUGUCCGGAAUUAUUGGGCGUAAAGAGCUCGUAGGCGGUCUGUUGCGUCCGCUGUGAAAACUCGGGGCUUAACCCCGAGCCUGCAGUGGAUACGGGCAGACUAGAGUUCGGUAGGGGAGUCUGGAAUUCCUGGUGUAGCGGUGAAAUGCGCAGAUAUCAGGAGGAACACCGGUGGCGAAGGCGGGACUCUGGGCCGAUACUGACGCUGAGGAGCGAAAGCGUGGGGAGCAAACAGG
rnacentral:rRNA from 1 species